UACAGAGGGUGCAAGCGUUAUUCGGAAUUACUGGGCGUAAAGCGCACGUAGGCGGCUUUGUAAGUUAGAGGUGAAAGCCUGGAGCUCAACUCCAGAACUGCCUUUAAGACUGCAUCGCUUGAAUCCAGGAGAGGUGAGUGGAAUUCCGAGUGUAGAGGUGAAAUUCGUAGAUAUUCGGAAGAACACCAGUGGCGAAGGCGGCUCACUGGACUGGUAUUGACGCUGAGGUGCGAAAGCGUGGGGAGCAAACAGG
rnacentral:rRNA from 1 species